rnacentral:misc_RNA from 1 species
GAUGAAGAACGUAGCAAAAUGCGAUAAGUAAUGUGAAUUGCAGAAUUCAGUGAAUCAUCGAAUCUUUGAACGCACAUUGCGCCCGCCAGUAUUCUGGCGGGCAUGCCUGUUCGAGCGUCAUUUACACCCUCAAGCCUAGCUUGGUGUUGGGCGCCUGUCCCGCCGUUUUCGCGCGCGGACUCGCCUCAAAGUCAUUGGCGGCGGUCGUGCCGGCCCCCUCGCGCAGCACAUUUGCGCUUCUCGGAGGCCCGGCGGAUCCGCGCUCCAGCAAGACCUUUCACGACUUGACCUCGGAUCAGGUAGGGAUACCCGCUGAACUUAAGCAUAUCAAUAAGCGGAGGA